GGAUCGGUAGUUCAGUUGGUUAGAAUGCUGCCCUGUCACGGCAGAGGUCGCGGGUUCGAGUCCCGUCCGGUCCGCUA
rnacentral:tRNA from 1 species